UCCAUGCCGCGUGAGUGAAGAAGGCCUUCGGGUUGUAAAGCUCUUUCAGCUGGAAAGAAAACGCUUGGGAUAAUACCCCAGGCGGAUGACGGUACCAGCAGAAGAAGCACCGGCUAACUACGUGCCAGCAGCCGCGGUAAUACGUAGGGUGCGAGCGUUAAUCGGAAUUACUGGGCGUAAAGCGUGCGCAGGCGGUUAUGUAAGACAGAUGUGAAAUCCCCGGGCUCAACCUGGGAACUGCGUUUGUGACUGCAUAACUAGAGUACGGCAGAGGGAGGUGGAAUUCCACGUGUAGCAGUGAAAUGCGUAGAGAUGUGGAGGAACACCGAUGGCGAAGGCAGCCUCCUGGGCCAGUACUGACGCUCAUGCACGAAAGCGUGGGGAGCAAACAGGAUUAGAUACCCUGGUAGUCCACGCCCUAAACGAUGUCAACUAGUUGUUCGGUGAGGAGACUCAUUGAGUAACGCAGCUAACGCGUGAAGUUGACCGCCUGGGGAGUACGGUCGCAAGAUUAAAACUCAAAGGA
rnacentral:rRNA from 1 species